CCCAACAUCAGUCAUAUGAAUAAAUCGAUCGAUCCGAGUCUGAUGUGAAAUCCCAAUGAAAAACUUUUUUUCAUUAUUUCACUCUACCAUGGUGAUGGGCUUAAGGACUCCAUCUUUUGAUCAUUAUAGGACUACUCUUCUCAUCUAUCGAGGUUGAUAGAUCCCGUCUUGGUGCAAUCUGGUUCCUACAAUGAAUAUGCUACAACCAACAUACAUCUUAGGGUUUCGAAUGGCUAGGAGAUCGAGUUAUAGUGUAGUCAAACUAUAACAGACUCAAGGUGAACUGUCGAUGCACCUC
rnacentral:lncRNA from 1 species